rnacentral:rRNA from 1 species
GAUGAACGCUAGCGGCAGGCCUAAUACAUGCAAGUCGAACGGUGGCAGCAAUGUCACAGUGGCGCACGGGUGCGUAACGCGUAGGCAAUCUGCCUACUCCUGGGGGAUAGCCCGCCGAAAGGUGGAUUAAUACCGCAUAAGACUACAGGGCGGCAUCGUCUAGUAGUUAAAGAAUUUCGGGAGUAGAUGAGCCUGCGUGCCAUUAGCUAGUUGGUGCGGUAACGGCGCACCAAGGCGACGGUGGCUAGGGGAGCUGAGAGGCCGAUCCCCCACACUGGCACUGAGAUACGGGCCAGACUCCUACGGGAGGCAGCAGUAGGGAAUAUUGGGCAAUGGGCGCGAGCCUGACCCAGCCAUGCCGCGUGGCGGAUGAAGGCCUUCUGGGUUGUAAACGUCUUUUGAUCGGGAAGAAAAAGCCCUUGCGAGGGAAAUCGACGGUACCGAUUGAAUAAGCACCGGCUAACUCCGUGCCAGCCGCCGCAGUAACAC